ensembl:lncRNA
CCUUAACAGAGACUUCUCCUCUGAGACCAGCAAAGCUCAGCUCUGCUUGUUGUUGAAUCUCCUUGCUCUCAAUGAUUUCUAAAAUGGCGACGAUGAGCUGCUCAAUUGUGAUUUUCCUUGACUUGAAGAGUUUGAAAAACUCCUGUCUUUUGUCCUCCGUCACAUACUCUGAAUUAAUAAGAUCCCACAUUGUUGUGUGUUUGCCCUUGAACCUGCCAUACUUAACAGUAACUGUGGUUGUUUUCAACGUUUCCUUAAUAUUAUCAUCAAUGUUAACUCUGCUGCUUUUGCCUUUGAGUGGCAAGAGGCACAGCCCUGUGGCGGGGUCUCUGACACAUCUGGCCAUGAGCUGCAAGUAUGUCAGGUUCUCACGGGUGUUGGGAUCAAAGAAUCCUUUGGUGUCAUCACUUGCAUCACUCAGGAUCUCAUUCAUUUCCUCAUCAAAGUAUCCCUUCUUAUAGGCCACGUGUACAGGAAUGCGAUGGCUGUUUACUGGAUCAAUAAUACCACCAGUGGCAAUCUGUGCCUCCAGAAGUCGAAUUCCAUGGUCUUUUAGGAUGAGAUCCUUUUGCAUGGCUUGGAACAAGGAUAUGAUUUGGCCAUCAUAUGGAUUUCUGUACCCGAUGACCGCUUUCUCUGCUGAGCGCAACUUUUGACACACAUCGGGACCCACUAUCUUUGCUUUGACUGCAUCAUCCACUGAAUACUUCUGAUUUCCAACAGGGUCGAUUAUGAAACCUGUUGCUGCCUGUGCCUCUAGUAGAAUCAGAGCCGUUCCUGGCAUCAGCUUCCCUUUUUGUUUGGCCUGGUAGAUGGUCAUGAUCCGAGAAUCAGGAAGCAGAAUUCCUGCAAUGCUGUCUUUCCCCUGUAGGUACACAUUUACAUUUUCAUCUUCUAUCACUUCCUUCACUGAUAUUUUUCCCUUUUCCAGAUUUUCCAUAACCUCCUUACUAAUGAUGUCGGCUUCCACCAGUUGUUUGGCUGUGACUGUUUCUCUGAUGCCUUCAAAGACAACAUUGGUUGUUUUCACUGACUUUUCUAUGACUUCCAGAACCAUAGUGAUAAUUAUCUUGAUAUUGAACUUCCCCUCUCUGUAGUUCUGAAUGAACUCUCGCCUCUGGCAUUCAUCAAAGUAUUCUGACAUCAGGAGUUCCCACAGGGAUACUGUCAUUCCCGUGUACUUUCCACAUGUCACGUUCACCUUCUCCUUUUUGAAGGUCAUUUUAGUUUGCCAGUCAAUGAAGUUGAAAUUCUGCUCGUUGGAUUUCCCAAAGAGUGGGAGGAGACACAGUCCAGUGCUGGGAUCAAUGACGCACCUUUGCAUCAGCUGAAGGAUCAAUCAUGAAUCCAGUUGAAGCUUGCGCCUCCAGUAGAAUCAGGGCUGUUCCUGGCAUCAGUACACCUUUUCUCAUGGCUUCAUAAAUGCUCAUUCUCUGAUUGGAUGAGAGUAGAGCAAUGCCUGCAAUACUUCCUUUGCCUUGCAGGUAGUCUUUUACUGUUUCCAUCAACAUCACAUCCUGUGUAGUGGUAUUUCCCUUCUGUAGGUCAUCAAAUGUUUUCAUGUCAAUGAUCUUUGAUUCAAGGAGCUGAUUGGAGGAAAUCCCUUUUCGCAAGCCUUUGAACGUGACGGAAACAGGAAGGAGCCGCAGGCCUGUGUCAGACUCCAAAGUGCAUUUCUCAAGGAGGUUUCGGUAGUUGAGAUGUUUUUGUAGGCUUGGACUGUAGUACACUUUGAGCUCCGGCAUCUUGUCAUUGAGCAAACCCUUUUCAUAGAAGCCUUUUUCAAUCGCAGAUUCAACUGAAAUAUUUGAUUUCUCAAUGGGAUCAAACAGGCCUUUUGUGGUGAUCUGUGCUUCCAGAAGCCUCAAUCCAUACUCUCUGGGGACUAAAUCUUUUUGCACAGCUUGGUACAAGGAUAUCAUUUGGUCGGUGUAUGGGUCUACAUAGCCAUUAACAGCUUUCUCGGCUGUGAGGAGUUUCUCUUUCAUCUCCGGUCCAACUAUUCCCUCCGUAACAGCAUCAGCAACACGAAGGGUUCGAUUGUUUAUUGGGUCGACGAUGCCCACUGUGGCAGCUUGUGCCUCCAGCAGGGCCACUGCUGUUCCUGGCUGAAGAAGACGUUUCUUCAUUGCUUGAUAUAUGGUUGUCUGUUUUACAGACUCAUCAGACUCCGGUUCCUAGGAGACUGGGCGGAGGAGGAGUAGGAGGAAACAUCUUUGGAUUACAGACCUAAAGCAGUGAAGGUCACCAAAUGCUGGUAGAGCGAGGGAAUCGGCAGGAUUCGAGCAUCAAAGUGGGCAGUGCAGCUUGAGACCUCAGUAGAAUGGAGUCGUAAAAGGUGACAAACAUACAUGUUGCAGUAGAUGAAUUUGUCUUAUUGAUUGAAGACAUUUGAUAAUAUUCACAAAAUGAACCGUAGUCGUACAGCAAAGUAAAACUAGCUGUGAAAAGCUGUGAAACAUCACACACUAACAAGUGAAAUCGAGAAGCACUCGCAAAAUACACACGAUACCUUUCUGAUAUUUAGUCAUAUUUAGUGAUAUUUGGACCUUUAUUGAUCAGGGGAUCAGAAACACAAAUGAAUGCUAACGUUGCUUUGAGUGAUUAUCGAAAAUACAGCAAAUAUGUACUUGUAAGACUAGAGGGAAAAACAAUGUUUGAAAUAUGGCAAAUGUACUAUGCAAAGAAUUUAAAGACAAAUAUUAGACAAACAAGACAUAUUUUUGCGUUCGUACUGUUAAUCCCAGUGAACCGAUGUACUUCAGCACAGUGUUAGGAUGCUGUUUAAACAAUCUUCUACAGGCGUCUACAGGUUUUACCCGUUUACACAAGAGAAACAAGAGCUGUUUUUGAAGCCACACAGAUUGAACUUGUGCCGACCCACAUUCUGCAUGCUUCAUCUAAAUGAAUGUAUGGAUCAUUUUCGGCCUCACCUUUACAGCUCUCUUCAUCCGACAUGUAAAGACGUGUUCUGAUUGACGUUGCCGGGGAACCGUUUCAUUCUUUCACUUUUAAUAUUAACUUUUAACCAAACAUCUCUUGUGCAAUGUCAGCUGAACAUUGUACCUCUAUUAUCAGCUCCAGUUGUCAUUUUUGUUGUAAAAAACUACAUUUCUGGAAACUUGGAUAGAUGAACACGACUUGGACAACAGGUGUUUUUGCUCAAAAGAGAUUCCGAGAGACGCCACAUUACCUUACAUGAUUUUUCAAUUAAUACAAAUUUUAAAAGUAUGUUGCCAGUCUGAGAGCUUCGGGAUCAAAAUGUUAAUAUAAACAGUAUAUAUAGCAGAUUCGAAAAUGCACAUUAAGGCUGUUAAAUAUGAAUAUCC